UACAGAGGUCUCAAGCGUUGUUCGGAUUCAUUGGGCGUAAAGGGUGCGUAGGUGGUUUGUUAAGUCUGCUGUGAAAUCCCCGGGCUCAACCUGGGAAUGGCAGUGGAUACUGGCAAGCUAGAGUGCGGUAGAGGGUAGUGGAAUUCCCGGUGUAGCAGUGAAAUGCGUAGAGAUCGGGAGGAACACCAGUGGCGAAGGCGGCUACCUGGACCAGCACUGACACUGAAGCACGAAAGCGUGGGGAGCAAACAGG
rnacentral:rRNA from 1 species